rnacentral:rRNA from 1 species
CCAAACUGUUGCCUCGGCGGGGUCACGCCCCGGGUGCGUCGCAGCCCCGGAACCAGGCGCCCGCCGGAGGGACCAACCAAACUCUUUUCUGUAGUCCCCUCGCGGACGUUAUUUCUUACAGCUCUGAGCAAAAAUUCAAAAUGAAUCAAAACUUUCAACAACGGAUCUCUUGGUUCUGGCAUCGAUGAAGAACGCAGCGAAAUGCGAUAAGUAAUGUGAAUUGCAGAAUUCAGUGAAUCAUCGAAUCUUUGAACGCACAUUGCGCCCGCCAGUAUUCUGGCGGGCAUGCCUGUCCGAGCGUCAUUUCAACCCUCGAACCCCUCCGGGGGGUCGGCGUUGGGGACCUCGGGAGCCCCUAAGACGGGAUCCCGGCCCCGAAAUACAGUGGCGGUCUCGCCGCAGCCUCUCCUGCGCAGUAGUUUGCACAACUCGCACCGGGAGCGCGGCGCGUCCACGUCCGUAAAACACCCAACUUCUGAAAUGUUGACCUCGGAUCAGGUAGGAAUACCCGCUGAACUUAAGCAUAUCAA